UUUGAUGAAAUUAAUGUGGAUCCCAAACUUUGUGAAUGGAUCCCAAAUAAAGUUAUGAAAUCUACAUUGAUUUCAUCCAA
rnacentral:pre_miRNA from 1 species